GUUGACCUCGGAUCAGGUAGGAAUACGCGCUGAACUUAAGCAUAUCAAUAAGCGCAGGAAAAGAAACCAACAGGGAUUGCCUCAGUAACGGCGAGUGAAGCGGCAACAGCUCAAAUUUGAAAUCUGGCCUCUUGGGGUCCGAGUUGUAAUUUGUAGAGGAUGUUUUGGGUACCGCCCCGGUUUAAAUUUCUUGGAACAGAAUGUCAAAGAGGGUGAGAAUCCCGUCUUGGACCGGCGGUAGGGCCUGUGUAAAACUCCUUCGACGAGUCGAGUUGUUUGGGAAUGCAGCUCAAAAUGGGUGGUAAAUUUCAUCUAAAGCUAAAUAUUGGCCAGAGACCGAUAGCGCACAAGUAGAGUGAUCGAAAGAUGAAAAGCACUUUGAAAAGAGAGUUAAACAGUAUGUGAAAUUGUUGAAAGGGAAGCGCUUGCAACCAGACUUGCACGCGGCGGUUCCCCUUGCCUUUUGGUCAGGGUACUCCGUCACGUUCAGGCCAACAUCGGUUUUGGGGGCCAGUUAAAGGCCCUGGGAAUGUACCUACCUACGGGUAGACUUAUAGACCAGGGUGCCAUGUGGCCUCCCGGGACCGAGGAACGCGCUUCGGCUCGGAUGUUGGCGUAAUGGUUGUCAGCGACCCGUCUUGAAACACGGACCAAGGAGUCUAACAUCUAUGCGAGUGUUUGGGUGUCAAACCCGGAACGCGGAAUGAAAGUGAACGGAGGUAGGAAGCUUCGGCUGCACUAUCGACCGAUCCUGAAGUUUACGGAUGGAUUUGAGUAAGAGCAUAGCUGUUGGGACCCGAAAGAUGGUGAACUAUGCCUGAAUAGGGUGAAGCCAGAGGAAACUCUGGUGGAGGCUCGCAGCGGUUCUGACGUGCAAAUCGAUCGUCAAAUUUGGGUAUAGGGGCGAAAGACUAAUCGAACCAUUAAACAAAAGUUACCGGUGGUUGAGUGUGCCUAUGAAAGUAGGUGCAAGUGCCGAAUUCUGGCGCAACACUGUCAAAUUGCGGGGACUCCCUAAAGCUUCAACGACCGUCGCGCAGACGAAAGUGUGCGUCGACACCAGGUUAACGGCCUCGGGCACGGUAACACGGUUGAAGAUGUAACAAUGGGUAAUCUGCAGCCAAGUCCUACGGGCUCCUGCCGGAGCCUACGGAUGCAGUUCACAGACUAAAUGGCAGUGGGCUCCCCCCUCGGGGGCUUAAGACAUAGUCGGUCCCCCGGAGAGAUCCGGGCGCACACGCUAAAUCUCAGGUGAAAGAAUUCUACGAUUCCGUAGUCGCCUUGGGACCCGAACGGUGCGGACGUCCCCUGGGCGCCGAGUAA
rnacentral:rRNA from 2 species